rnacentral:lncRNA from 1 species
GGGGGCUCUAGUCAUAGCUCUGCCAGGUUCAAGGGUGUCAGCCCUGCUCACCCUGGCAGGGUCAGACUGUUUGGAGCCAAUGCACACUGGUCCAGGAUAGACGGGCCGCUCAGUCCACCCAGCAAGAGCCUUGCAUUGCCCCCAGCAAGGGCACAGGACUCCCCAAAGCCGGUGAGACCCCAGAGGAAUUCUGCUAAUUCCUACCACAGUUGUUCUGAGCACUGAGGCCUGGAGCUGCACGGCCAUCUCAGGAGCCCGAGGACGGAGGCUGCCUGGGUGCUCUCUCUUGGCUCCCUGCCUCUGGGAUGUAAAAGCCUCAGCCACAAGGGAAGACCACGGGCAGGCCCGCUGGCCCACGGCCCCUGCCAGGUUUCCAGCUAACAGCAAGUGUGCUCUGCCUGCUGUGUGAGCGUGCCACCCAGGCAGGCAACACACAGAACCAGGAGAGGUAACAUCCAUUGUCUGUCGGGCACUAAGCUGCCAGGUUCCGGGGUGGCUGGUUGGGCUGCAGCAGAUAAGCGGAACAGAGGAGGGAGACGAGGAAGGAUAAACACGACUUUUUUUUUUGGCUGCACCCCAGGUAUGAGGACAUUCCUGGGCCAGGGAUUGAACCCGUGCCACAGCAGGGACCUGGGCCACAGCAGUGACAACACUGGAUCCUUCACCUGCGGCACCACAAGAGAAAUCCAACACUGAGUAGUUGGACUAGAGAAACAGAGAAAGGCAGAGGCAAAAAUGACUUCUCACAGCAAUGGCUGAGACAUGCCAGGCUGGGGCAAUUUGUGCUAUACCCUUGUGUUGUGUGAAGAGUGAUUUUGUUUCAGCAAAAUGGCAUCAACCGUUAUAUUCAACGAGAGCUGUUCAUCUGACUUUGCCUCGUACUUAUGUUUGUAUAUGUUUUCUUUUUGGGGGUGUGUUUUACUAUAGCAUAAGAUCUAUAAUCACAAGGGUUUAUCCUGGGUUUAUGUUUACUGUUUUAUUCUACUUUAUUAUUAUUAUUUUUUGCUGCUUUUAAAAAGCUUAGCGCUCCUUCAAGGCUCAAGACAAACACUCCCUUCUCCAUAAAGUAUUUCCUGCUGUCCUUUCCGAACCAAGGGUGAAUUCUCCCUCACUUGACUUCCAAGGUAUAUCACAUCCUGCGCUGUGCUCUGGUCGUUGGUGUGCAUUCUUCUUCCUCCUAUUCCUUUUUGCCUUUUGAAAGAAGGACGUGUAUUUAAUUCAUUCGUAUUCUCCUCAGCCCUUGUCAGAGUAUCUUACAUAUUUUGGAUGUUUAAUAUUUAGUGAAUGAAUCAAUGAAAGAUUUGAGAAUGAAUUACAUACAUUUUGUAUUAUGUAUACAUACAUAUAUUUGGACAAUAACGCUGAAAAGUAGAAAAGUUCUGCAUAAUCGUGUAAUACAUAUUUGCCUGGUGUUUUAAAUAUAUGUUCCCUCUAAAUCAGGAGUGUAGUUCAGGCUGCUCUCCAGCAGCCCAUUAAAUAUCAUCUCUCUUUUUUUUUUUAUUCUUUUGGGGGAGGCUGCACCCACGGCAUAUGGAGGUUCCCAGACUAGGGGUCGAAUCGGAGCUGUAGCCACCGGCCUACACCACAGCCACAGCAACAUGGGAUCCGAGCCGCGUCUGUGACCUACACCACAGCUCACGGCAACGCCGUGCCCUUAACCCACUGAGCGAGGCCAGGGACUGAACCUGUGUCCUCAUGGAUCCUAGUCGGAUUCGUUUCCACUGCGCCACGACAGGAACUCCGGAAUAUUUUGGGAUUAAAAACACAUGAUGACCUUGAAAAGAAGGAAAGGAGACAGGAGGUCGUAGCACUGGCUGAGGUAAUGGCAGGAAAGCCCAGGACUAGACAGGGAAGCUGCUGAGGAUACAGCAGGGCUGCCGUCCCGGACGAGCUGGGGGUGGGGGAGACGCGUGCUGCAGAGAUAAAACCCCCACUGCCAGUCACGGAACUUUUGAGGAACAUCGACUAAAGAGAGAAAAAAACAACAACACGACCUUGCACCCCACGAGACAAAAGUGAACACAAAAGGAAGAGGACUUUAGAACAAGUGCAUUUCAUAGGGUCAGUACGUGCCAGGUGGAAAUCACAGCCAAUUAGGCUGUUUUGAAAGAAAAACGUAUGAAAAAGAGGACCAAGUGGAAGUCUUUGAAAUGAAAAAAUACCCCUUUAAAAUGUAAAAGUCAAAAAAAAGUAAAAGGCAGUAGCUAGUUUAAAUAAAAGAUUAGACUAGGCUGAAGCGUAAACCUAGAAGAUUUUUGUCCAAGGGUUCUCUUUGACGACAGCAAAAAUAAGGACAGACACUAGUAUAUGGAAGGUAAGAAUCACAGAGGAAAGAUGCAGAAGUUCCAACAUUCCUAAAAUAGGAAUGCCAGAGGGGAGAAUGGAGAGGUAGGAAUUAAAAAAAUACUCAGGAGUUCCCAUCGUGGCGCAGUGGUUAACAAAUCCGACUAGGAACCAUGAGGUUGCAGGUUCGAUCCUUGGCCUUGCUCAUUGAGCUGUGGUGUAGGUUGCAGACACGGCUCGGAUCUGGUGUUGCUGUGGCUCUGGCGUAGGCUGGCGGCUACAGCUCCGAUUCGACCCCUAGCCUGGGAACCUCCAUAUGCCGCGGGAGCGGCCCAAGAAAUGGCAAAAAGACAAAAAAAAAAUACAAUAAAAUAAAGACUCAGAAUGUCCCAGAACACAGAGCUUCCAUAUCAAACAGUCCUCUGAGUCUUGAGAAGAAUAAAAACAAACAGCUCCACCUAGACCUGGGGUAGUUAAGAAUGAAGAGAAAACCCUAAAGCUAUCAGAGAAAACCAGGCAGAUCACUUACAAAGGAAUGAGAACUAGACAGCUUAUCAGCCGCCUGACCUGCAAGAAGAUAACGGAGACGGAGCAUCAGAGUCCUGAGGAAAUCGUCUUUGAUCUUAGAAUCUGAUGCCGCAACCUCCCACUCAACAGAAGUAAAAUGAAAACAUUUUGGGGGCGUUCCCAUUGGGACUCAGCAGUAACGAGCCCGACUAGGACUCAGGAGGAUGGGGGUUCGAUCCCUGGCCUUGCUCAGUGGGUUGAGGAUCUGGCAUGGCUGUGGCUGUGGUGUAGGCCGGCCGCUCCAGCUCCAGUUUGACCCCUAGCCUGGGAACUUCCGCAUGUCACGGGUGUGGCCCUNAAAAAAAAAAAAAAAAAAAAAAAAAAAAAAAAGACAUUUUUGGAACUGCCAAGGCUAAGGCAGUUUAUGACCUCUAAGCCCUCCCUCAGCGAGCAGAGAACAUUCUCCAAGAAAAAGGAAUCUUGGAAGAGAAUGGGUUGCACGAAACCAAUGUGUCCAAAGAAAUUAGCAAAAGGGACCCUGUGCCCUAGGUACUGACCAUGAACUACUGUGGGGGUUUGAGAAUUACAGCUGUGACCAGAGGCACAGGGUCCAAGAGGAAUCGGCAGUUACCCGGUAGGCUUCUAACCACUUAUUUUGCGGCCAUCUGUCCCCAAUGUCCAGCAUUGCGCUUGAUGCAACUUAUUAAAAUUGCUGGCUGCAAGAGUGAAUUCAUGGACCGAUGACUGGUCCUGUCAGCGUGUGGCCUUUUCCAGAAUAUCAGCAUUUUCACAGAGCGAGAUUCACCGCCCCC